GGGAGGCAGCAGUGGGGAAUUUUGGACAAUGGACGCAAGUCUGAUCCAGCCAUGCCGCGUGCGGGAAGAAGGCCUUCGGGUUGUAAACCGCUUUUGUCAGGGAAGAAAUCUUCUGGGUUAAUACCUCGGGAGGAUGACGGUACCUGAAGAAUAAGCACCGGCUAACUACGUGCCAGCAGCCGCGGUAAUACGUAGGGUGCAAGCGUUAAUCGGAAUUACUGGGCGUAAAGCGUGCGCAGGCGGUUAUGCAAGACAGAUGUGAAAUCCCCGGGCUCAACCUGGGAACUGCAUUUGUGACUGCAUAGCUUGAGUGCGGCAGAGGGGGAUGGAAUUCCGCGUGUAGCAGUGAAAUGCGUAGAUAUGCGGAGGAACACCGAUGGCGAAGGCAAUCCCCUGGGCCUGCACUGACGCUCAUGCACGAAAGCGUGGGGAGCAAACAGGAUUAGAUACCCUGGUAGUCCACGCCCUAAACGAUGUCAACUGGUUGUUGGGAAGGUUCCUUCUCAGUAACGAAGCUAACGCGUGAAGUUGAC
rnacentral:rRNA from 1 species